UGGCCAUAUCAUGGUGAAACACCAGUUCCCGUACAAUCACUGAAGUAAAGGAAUGCUGAGCUUGGUCAGUACCGAGAUGGGUGACCACUCAAGAAUACCAAGUGCUGUAAG